UACGAAGGGGGCUAGCGUUGUUCGGAUUUACUGGGCGUAAAGCGCACGUAGGCGGAUCGUUAAGUCAGGGGUGAAAUCCUGGAGCUCAACUCCAGAACUGCCUUUGAUACUGGCGAUCUCGAGUCCGGAAGAGGUGAGUGGAACUCCUAGUGUAGAGGUGGAAUUCGUAGAUAUUAGGAAGAACACCAGUGGCGAAGGCGGCUCACUGGCCCGGUACUGACGCUGAGGUGCGAAAGCGUGGGGAGCAAACAGGG
rnacentral:rRNA from 1 species